rfam:Camelus ferus unplaced genomic scaffold scaffold760, whole genome shotgun sequence.
GGGGAUAGCUCAGUGGUAGAGUGUGUGCUUAGCAUGCAUGAGGUCCUGGGUUCAAUCCCCAGUACCUCCA